rnacentral:rRNA from 1 species
CCUACGGGGGGCAGCAGUGGGGAAUAUUGGACAAUGGGGGCAACCCUGAUCCAGCCAUGCCGCGUGUGUGAAGAAGGCCCUCGGGUUGUAAAGCACUUUCAGUGAGGAAGAACGCCUGGUGGUUAAUACCCAUCAGGAAAGACAUCACUCACAGAAGAAGCACCGGCUAACUCCGUGCCAGCAGCCGCGGUAAUACGGAGGGUGCGAGCGUUAAUCGGAAUUACUGGGCGUAAAGCGCGCGUAGUUGGCUUGAUAAGCCGGUUGUGAAAGCCCCGGGCUCAACCUGGGAACGGCAUCCGGAACUGUCAAGCUAGAGUGCAGGAGAGGAAGGUAGAAUUCCCGGUGUAGCGGUGAAAUGCGUAGAGAUCGGGAGGAAUACCAGUGGCGAAGGCGGCCUUCUGGACUGACACUGACACUGAGGUGCGAAAGCGUGGGUAGCAAACAGGAUUAGAUACCCUAGUAGUC